rnacentral:tRNA from 1 species
UGCCUGGUGGUGUAACGGUAGCACAAUGGGCUCUGGACCCAUUUGUUGAGGUUCGAAUCCUCACCGGGCAGCCA